rnacentral:rRNA from 1 species
GACGAACGCUGGCGGCGUGGAUUAGGCAUGCAAGUCGAACGGUAUCAUCCUUUCGGGGGUGAGAGAGUGGCGAACUGGUGAGUAACACGUAGGUUAUCUACCCUCAAGACGGGGACAACCCAGGGAAACUUGGGCUAAUACCGGAUGUGAGCAACUUUAGUUGUUUGAAAGGUGGCGUAAGCUGUCGCUUGGGGAUGAGCCUGCGUCCUAUUAGUUAGUUGGUGAGGUAACGGCUCACCUAGGCAAUGAUAGGUAGGCGGCCUUAACGGGUGGUCGCCCACACUGGGAUUGAGAUACCGGCCCAGACUCCUACGGGAGGCAGCAGUCGAGAAUAGUCUACAAUGGUCGGAAGACUGAUAGUGCGACGCCGCGUGAACGAUGAAUCCCUUCGGGGUGUAAAGUUCUUUUAUAUGUGAGCAGUGCUUCUUAUAUUAACAGUAUGGGGAGAGAGAUAUUAGCAUAUGAAUAAGCAACGGCUAACUCCGUG